GACGAACCGUGCGAACGUUAUUCGGAAUCACUGGGCUUAAAGCGCGUGUAGGCGGGAGGGCACGUCCGUCGCUGAAAUCCCCCGGCUCAACCGGGGAACGGGCGCGGAUACGACCUUCCUUGAGGGGCGUAGGGGGACCUGGAACUUCCGGUGGAGCGGUGAAAUGCGUAGAGAUCCGGAAGAACACCGACGGCGAAGGCAGCGCCCUGGACGCCAACUGACGCUCGGGCACGAAAGCGCGGGGAGCGAACAGG
rnacentral:rRNA from 1 species